GUGGGGAUCUUGCCAAUGGGGGAACCCUGNUGCAGCCAUGCCGCGUGGAGGAAGACACCCCUAUGGGGCGUAAACUCCUUUUCUGCGCGAAGAAACCUCUGUUUUUCAGAGUGUGACGGUACCGCAGGAAUAAGGACCGGCUAACUCCGUGCCAGCAGCCGCGGUAAUACGGAGGGUCCAAGCGUUGUCCGGAAUCACUGGGCGUAAAGGGUGUGCAGGUGGGGCAGCAAGUCAGAGGUGAAAGCCCGCGGCUUAACCGCGGACGUGCCUUUGAAACUGCUGCUCUUGAGUCCCGGAGAGGUUGCCGGAAUUCGUGGUGUAGCGGUGAAAUGCGUAGAUAUCACGAGGAACACCAGAGGCGAAAGCGGGCAACUGGACGGGUACUGACACUGAGGCACGAAAGCGUGGGGAGCAAACAGGAUUAGAUACCCUGGUAGUCCGCGCCGUAAACGAUGAAUGCUCGCCGUUGCCUCGUUAGGGGGCAGUGGCUAAGCUAACGCGUUAAGCAUUCCGCCUGGGGAGUACGAUCGCAAGGUUGAAACUCAAAGGAAUUGACNGGGGCCCCGCACAAGCGGNGGAGCAUGUGGCUUAAUUCGAUGCACCCCNAAAAACCUUACCUAGGNUNNAACGCUAGGCNANUUGNUCCUGAAAGGGAACNUUUCCNAAAGGACCCCUAAC
rnacentral:rRNA from 1 species